rnacentral:lncRNA from 1 species
AGCAAUGUUAUUCGCAACAAUAUUCAGAGUAGUGCCAUGCUUCUUGGUUUGAUUGUAUUUCUAAUUUUGCUAUUGUAGAAGUCUAAUAAAUACACGCCUGGCAAAUCUUACAAUUGGAGGUGGAAUUGUGGCCUGCAAAAGGAUCGUCGUGACAAGCGCUUAGCACCUCCCGUCUAAAAAAAUGAAGGGACCACCAGUAAAAGUUUCCUUCCAGCCUGACGGUUUUUUCGGUAUAGCACGUCUUUUUUCAAAGCGUAUGACUCGUUCGCAGCGGCUCCGUCUUCUCUUAACUGCAUUCUGAUAAGUCUUGUUGCCUUAUCGUCGUGUUGAAGGAGCGCGAUUUCUUCGGGAGAAUGAAAGCUCCCUACCCCGGCACAGCACAUGGCUUCCGGAAGAUCCGUCUCCUCUGGAUCUCCGACUGGGAAGCGAGAGAGGGCAUCUGCGACGACGUUCAGGUGGCCUUUGAUGUGUUUUAUCUGGAUUUGAAAUUCUUGUAGCGCUAAGAUCCAGCGGGCGUAUUUCCCGUCUAUAUCCUUCUUUGAAUAAAGCCAUUUCAAUGCCGAGUUGUCUGUAAAGACGGUGAAGUUUCUCCCAUACACGUAGGGUUUUAACUUAUCCAAGGCCCAUACUAGAGCGAGGCACUCUAGGGCAUUACUAUGGUAAUUCAUUUCUGCUUUAUAGGUCCUUCUACUGAUAAAGAUUAUCGGCCGUUCGACCUUCUCUUUCACGUGAUUUAGGACUGGCAUAGAUCUUCGGGGUGUACUGGAACCUGCCAGAAUGCGUUCUUUAUGUCCAUAGAACUAAAGAUCGCCGCCCCGGUUACCCUUUGGAUAAGGUCGUCGGGUCGGGCCAUUGGAUAUACGUCAAUUUUAGUGACUGCAUUCAGCGGUCUAUAAUCCACACAAAACCGUAGAUUACCAUCCUUUUUCUUGAUUAGCACUACGUUGGCGCUCCAUGGGCUGUUGGAUGGUUCGAUGAUCCCCUUGGAUAGCAUGCUUCUUACUUGCUCGGUUAUUAUUUGUGGCUCGUACAUGGAGAUUCGCCGGGGUCGUGCGCUUACGGGGCACGCGUCUCCUGUGUCGAUGCGGUGAGCGUGCCCGGCGUCAACUCCGAUCUUUCCUUCAUUGGAGAAGGAAAGAUCGGUAGUAGUUACGGCCAGAGUGACCUUUGUUUUUGCCAAUUAGUGUUGCGUUUGUGUUACGGCAAUACAAAUUUAGACUUUUGUACGUGGUUUUCCGUUGUGUUUCUUAACAGAAGGUUUGUUGUAAUUUUGUUGGUUAUUGAGGAAUACUAGAGCAUCCAUUAUGCCUGCAUUUAUUGCCACCACUCCUAGAACAUAUGCCUGUAGAUUGGCCCCAGUCAUGUAGGUCGCAAUCUAAUUAUCGUAAUCGGUCAGAAGGCCAUCAACUGUAUUGGCCUAUUUUCCGUAAAUGGCCCUGUUUCCGUAAGACGCUAGAUUUUGGAUAGACGUAUUACCCAUAAAACUGGUUUGAAGAUCGUAACCAAACUGUGCCAAUCUCUUGAAUUGUGUUGAUCGGAUAACGUUCUUCUCCGCCAUAGUUCCGAAUCCACCCCAUGGAUUUAGACGAUGGGUUUGCGGAUUUUCCAAUGCGGCAAUUAAUUGCAUAAAUGCUGCACACUCCAAUGGCCACAUGACAUGUAUAUGACCCCAUUUGAAAUCCCUGCAGUCUUUCAUUGCUCCUAUCAACAUCAUGAUAGCGGUCAUUCCGUGAAAAGGCGCUUGUGCAACCAUAUUCUUAAGGCCUAAUACCUCGAUAGUGCCCUGGUUUGUCAUAUGUGCGAAAAGAGCAGUAAAGUCAGCCCUGGUCAUUCCCGCUGUCAUCUUGGAAAAUAUGGCAGAUAAUACGCCUACAUCAGAAGGCCAUGGGCAAUCCAUAUUAGUCAGACCACAUUGCGUGACAAACUUGCCAAAUUUACGGGCGUUGGAAGUCCCGGCAAACAUCAGAGUGUACCAAAGAUAUACAAUCCCAGCUUUCAUCCAUUCAAUGUACCUGGCAGGAGCUCUACGUGCAACACCUCCGACUGCCACACUGAUGAAAUGGCCAACUCCAGCAGCUGUCAAGUUGUUGCCCCACGUUGGCUAAUCAGCUUGAUUAUGUAAACAAACAAUCUUUACAUAAUAGUGGCAGCGGCGAAUUUUGGGACCAAUUCCUGCAGUCAGUGUCUGCUGUGCUCAUGGUAGCGAAGACCCGACCUAGUCUGGUGAAAUCAGCAUCGGCUGGCAACAUCUCACUUUCGAUUCUCUGCAGCCUCAGGUACUUACUCGGUACCAUACUCGUCCCCGGAAGACAGCUUGUCCGCCCGCUGUGGUGGUAACCCCCAAGGUAGCAUCCGUACUGUACGCGAGUCUAAUGCGCUGGUUUUCGAUCAUGUCCUGGUGUUGUGGGAUGGUCAAGUAGUCCGGGAUGUUCUGCAUCAUGAAGUUAAUCGAAGUGGUACUAUGUAUCCACCGAGUUCCGGCUCUAUAUGGUCUCCACACAGGUGGGUUGACGGUGUUGUCCCAUUCCAUGGUGGUCAAAUCCCCGUACGUCUGGAUUAGUACGGGAGGAUCUUCUGCUAACAUCGUUCUGGGGUAGGGCCUACGUCUCAUAAGUGCCACUCUGGUGUUAGUCUCCCCGAGAGGGAAACCUGAAGUGGCAGCUAUGAUGUCUAACAGGUCGUCAGUCAUCGCAAGGCUCCUGAGAUCUUCCAAAACCUGACGAGAUCCCGUGUGAGCUUCAUCGUUAUGUGGCUCACCGGGGGGGGGGGAGUAUCUGACCAAUGACGGGACGAUGCCUAUUGCGUGUUGUUGCAUCUGUGCCGCCAUCGAUAAACAUGUCGCGAUGGUUUUAUACAUGACUGGUAAGUCACGCCGCUCACCUGGGACCAUGUCGUAUUUCCCCAUUAUCACGUCUAGAUUAUAUAUCCCCAGUAGAAGAAGGGAGAUCCAUCCCACGUGCUGUGACUGAAUACAGUGUGUCUUAACAUGGGGGAAGAUGUUACCCACCACUGCAUCAGCGUAUCGGUUGGGGAACUGGUGAGGCACACUGGUGUUGGAGGUGCUGAGUGGCUGGAACCACAACUCAUGAUCUCCGUCAUUAGUCUGAAACACAUCUCCGUCGUCUGUGUCCCGGCAAAACACGGGAAUAAAUCUGCCUGCAUCGUUCUUGGGUAGCAGGCUAGUCCUGUUGUCCAUCAGCUCGUUAACGGGAAUUACGACAGAUGGAGGAAAAUAAACACUAGUCUCGGACGCUGUUACGAUACAUGAAUUCCAGUGAGCUCGUAGGCCUAGAGGAGGACCACAAGUCACCCUGAAGUAGGCAAGGUCUGCGGGGGUAAUGCAGCCAAGCCAGGUCAUGCAGUAUUCAAAGUGGUUUACAAGAGCAACUUGUUCCACAUUAGCGUUGUUCAUCCAAGACCAAGGGAUAGCGUUCAAUCCCCCCUGGAAACACGGGCCGUAAGUAGGCACCCAAAGGACAGCACCUGUGGCGGGGUUUACGUCAACGGUCUUCACGUAGUUAGUGGUGAGCUUCAUCGGAAUCACCACUUUCAAGUUGUUAUCCCCCGGUACUACCUGCCACCCUUCGAGUGCAGCAUAGACGAGUUCCCAGUCCUGAUGGCCAUUCUCAAAAGAAUGAGAAACAACAGGAUAGUACCUCCCCCAGCUACCCAGACCGAUGAUCAGUAUGGCAAGCAUCUUUUCGUGCUGGUGAAUCUGGUGCCAAUAGUCAGGUAUUAGAAGGCUAUUGGCCUUAUCGGGAAUUAGAGUGUCGCUGUGUGUAAAAAUCAGCGUACCGUUAUCUCCGUAACGCGGGAGAACCGUGUCGUCAUUACCACAUAUAGGGCUUUUUUAGAAAGCGAAAAUCUGACUUUCAGAAAUCUGGCAACGCAUGCGUUUUGUAGUCGUUUUCCGUUUACAUGGCAAAGGCCAUAAGAAAUUUAAGUGUCUUUAACAAAAUAUACGUAACUCGUUGAAUUCGCAUUAUUUCUUCACAAGAAUUCCACAGUGCUCUAGAGAAAUGGCUGUCUGCUGUGUAGUUGGAUGUGGACGCAAGUAUAAAAGAAACGAUAAAGACAAUAAUCCGAUGUUCUAUUCAAUCCCAAUCGUUAAUCCCUACGACCCAUUAACCCAAUUGAGAAGGAAUGAACGGCUGAAACGAUUGAAUCUGUCAGAAAGUAGUGUGACACCUAAAAUAAAGUUUAUGCAUAAUAAUAAAAGUUUAUGCAAGGCCUUUUGCAGAACAUAUCCAUCUUGAAACUUCUUGUAGCUUAGCAUACUCAUCAAAUUCUCAGUUCUGUUGCCAUCAUGUCGACUUUUUGUUACAUAAAGGUAAUCAAUUAGGUCGUAUUUGGCUAUGUUGGGUAAACUUCUCUGUAGUUGGCGAAGAUCUUGAUCACCAACAAUAAAGUAUUUCUCGUCAAUGCCCCAUG